rnacentral:rRNA from 1 species
GAGGCGGGCGGCUGGCAGGGGGCAGGCACACGAAGAAGAGCCCUGCAGCUGCGGUGCCUCGAGCAGUUCCACGGGAGAGCAGGGAGAAGUGGAGGAGUACGCAGAUAGAGAUAAGCUAAACCAGGAGACUAAGUCUAAAGAGUGUGUUCGCCUACCAACAACAGGAGAUAAGCACAAGCGCGAGCACGUCGAGGGAGAGACGAUGACGUCCUCCUAACCUAACCUAACCAAAGAUGAACGAGAUAAUAGAUAAACUCUUAGACUCUACGCCGGGAGGUUUAGAAUCCGGGGUCUUCCUCCUAAACUCUCACCUCUUCCUAGUGGACUUACACUAAACCUCCUUCCUCAACAGGUCCUUAGUUUUACAAUAAUAAAAUGAUAAGACGUCCCCUCUUAGAUUUCUAAUAAACAAAGAAAAAUACGAACGUCUAGCACAAAUCACAAACCCUAAGUGUGGGACGUAACUAUUCUAGUGGUGUACGUCUGAUAAGUAAGGAACGGUUUGACGUGUACGAUCGAUGACAAACUUCUACCGCAACAUUUUUUACGUAUUCGACCCCUACCGUACCACUACGACGACCAGCUCUUCAUGGUAGGGUCUUAUUUAAAUCGUAGUUGUGCCACUAAACUCUUACGUUUGUUCGUGUUAUCCUAGAAGGUACAGUUAACAAGGGAGGAAUGGACGGUUACGAAGGAGGACGGAACGGUCGGCGCACACAGGAGUGGAAACAAGUAGUUAAACACACGUCCAUACCUAACCACUACAAAAACUGCGGGUAUCUCGGUAAUGGAGCACGUACACAUAAAACACACGGUCAAAUGGUCAAUCACUCACUAUUACAGGCAUACUUACAAAGUAGCAAAUCGUUCACUAGUCGUUGUCCGUAGAGAAUGAAAACCUAACUUCACGUCUAGAACGAUUUCUCAACUGGUACCUCAGUAAAUACAUAAGAAUACGGGGUUACGAAGUAAUUCAUAAGAAUAAUACGUUAUAUUUUAAUAAAGAAUAGCAGAAGAUAACCAAGGAGACAAAAAGAGUCAAUAAGUCUCUUGUGGUAUACAAUGUACUUAAGAUCUGAUAAAAGGAUCUCCAUCAACAAUCUUAGUAGAAGAACUUAAACGGAUGAAUCGUAGAUUAUAAAGUGUGAGCGGUUAACAUUAUAGAGUACGAACGGUUAAAAAUCUUAGUUCAAGAACUCAAACGAACGAAUUGGCACAGGGACACGUUAACGAGUGGUUGGAGUGGUUAACACUCAAACAGGGUGUAUCACCUCAAAAACACUCAAAAAUAUCAGAUAUUUAAGAACCUUCAAGAGAACAACGACGAUAUUACACCCACACAAGCCGAAGGAAGAAGUAAAUUCCACUUAGGAACGAAGGUCCAACCGGAUACUUUACUACAUCAAAGACGACCUUUUAUUCAACAAUACGUUAAUAUCAAUCCAACGGUUAAAAAGAAGUAUUGACGUAAAUUACCACCGACAAUACGAGUAAAACGAGUUUCUUUCCAACAGAUCGGUACGAUGAAACACUAAAUUCUUUAUCCGGCUGUGGUUUAGUCAUUAGGGCCUGAAGACGAAAGAACCGGCUUUAAAUGAUUAAAACAAAAAGAACAAUAGAAAUCGGUAAGGUUUUGUAAAUAGACCAAGACAUCUUAAUGUCUGGUAUCUUAAUAUCGACCGGUAUAAAAACUUACGCACUUGGAGUGUAUCUAUAGUACGAUUACAUCAAACUGCCUUCAACAUUUUGGUUACCUAUCCGUAGCAGAAGACGAUUCCAAGGAAAGUGGGAAGAAAUCUUGGGUUGUUCGUAAGUAGUUUUUAAUUUCUAGAACCAACCACUAAGCAAAGUUACCGGCCAUAUCAUUCCGAUGUAGUUAAUAGUAUAAUAAAAAGUAAAGAAAAACGGACGGGAACAAAGUGUUGGAUUAUGACUAACUAGUCCAUGUAACGUUACUCACGAAUGAAUACAAAACAGAGGACAAUAAAAAACUAAGGUCAGAAGUAUGAAAGUCUGUGGAAACUAUUAUAUCCUUCUUCUUUCAUAAGCGAGGUCUGCUUCUACAGAUCGAACGAACACACGAUAUUGUAAUUAGUCACGUAGCCCGGGUUGCAAAAGAUAGUAACCUUGGAACUACUAAAUAGAGUAAACUUGUAUUAGAUUGGGGAGACUAAAAACAGUCAUGUACUAACAUGUGGAGGAUACGGGCGAAUUAACACACAAGUAAAACAAUUAGUUCUUCGUAGACUAAAAUACCGACCCAUGCGACUUUUAUAUAUUUUGGCAAGAAGAAAACCUAUUAAACAAAGGGAAACUGGUUAAAACAAUGAACGGAUGUGUAGACACGUAUCGCAUUACGAGGUCGUACUGGCGAAGCACACGACGGAGCUCAGCGCGCCGGUGAUGCGAGCGCGGCUCCGCCUCCGUCGACGGUGAGAGCUGCGGGAGGUGACGCGCGAGAGUGGCCGCCGCAAGCGUUUCGGAACAGUGGCGCGACGUUCACAACGGGGGGAGGAGGGGUUCCCGUUCCACUUCUUUCCACGGACACACCAAGAAGACGUCGAGCGUCGCUCCUAACGACACAGGUUGGACGUGUUAUUACGGUUCUUCAGGAAGAACCUCUGCAUUCGGUGCCGCGUACAAAGACGGUACUAAAGGAAGCCAACCAAAAGCACCUAAAUCCACAACUUUUUAAUACCCUACACCUACGUCCUAAUUCCUGUACAUGGACGUGAUGUCGCUCUCUAGACCCGACGAAGAAACACCGAAGGUUUGAACUUUAAAAACAAACCUUCAAUCAAAUCAAAAAACAACACCUAAGUGUAGAAGAGUGUACAUGGUAGGAGAAUCUGGAAAUCUAAAGGUUUUUUUGAUUUACUUCUAUACCACCAUACCAGAGUUAUCAUGUUGAAUUUCGGAACGUACGAAAUAUAAAAGA